rnacentral:rRNA from 1 species
AAUGAACGCUGGCGGCAGGCCUAACACAUGCAAGUCGAACGGAUCCUUCGGGAUUAGUGGCGGACGGGUGAGUAACGCGUGGGAACAUACCCAAAGGUACGGAAUAGCCUCGGGAAACUGGGAGUAAUACCGUAUGUGCUCGAAAGAGGAAAGAUUUAUCGCCUUUGGAUUGGCCCGCGUUGGAUUAGGUAGUUGGUGGGGUAAUGGCCUACCAAGCCGACGAUCCAUAGCUGGUUUGAGAGGAUGAUCAGCCACACUGGGACUGAGACACGGCCCAGAGUCCUCCGGGAGGCAGCAGUGGGGAAUCUUAGACAAUGGGGGAAAGCCUGAUCUAGCCAUGCCGCGUGAUCGAUGAAGGCCUUAGGGUUGUAAAGAUCUUUCAGGUGGGAAGAUAAUGACUGUACCACCAGAAGAAGCCCCGGCUAACUCCGUGCCAGCCGCCGCCGUAA